rnacentral:lncRNA from 1 species
AGGGCUUCACAGUCUGUGCCAUAACUGUUACCAUAGUGAUGUAGUAGUAAGAGAAAAAAUAUAUACUGUUAGAAUUAUCAAAGGUUUAGAAUCUGAGCUGAGCUGGACCUGAUGGCUGAACAACAGCAGAACCAUUGGAAUUGACAGCCAUCUACAAGACCAAGUAAGAUGCACAUAAAAAUGGAAGUGAACUCAGAUCUCAGCACAAUUUUCAGCACCUAGGUAGAUAAUAGAUAACAUUUAUCUUGGAUCUUACAGCAAGACACCCACACAGAUGAUGCAAUAUUCUUUUCCUUCCUUCCUAUCUUUUCACCAUAUGUCUAUCUCAUAGUUGCCUUCUUUAAAAAAAAAAGUCAAACACAUCUUACAGGUGUCCCAUUUCUUGUGACCACUCAUGUAGCUGAAAUCCUCAGUUCCUGAGAUGAAUUCUAGAUGGGUGGUGUCUUGGUACAUUUUGUACUGUUAUAGCAGGACAUUGAAGAGUCAGAACUUUAUAAAGAAUAGAGCUUUCUUCCUUACAGUUCUGGAGGCUCGGAAGUCUAAGACGAAAGAACCUGCAUCUGGCAAAAGUCUUCUGGCUGUGUCAUCUCACGAUGGAAAGCAGAGGAGGAAGGGUCCUGGAUGUACCAAACAACAUCCUGUAUGUCAGAGACUGGAGGACUGGAGGAGAACCAUCAAUACUGGUUCUGUUAGAUUGUCCAACAAGACAAACUGUCUUUCUUGCCUCUAUUGAUCACUUCUCAAAGUCCUAACUUUGUUAGGCAUUGGGACAAGAAUCCCUUUUCUUCAUAAAGAAUGAAAAUGUAGGCAUAGGGAGAGUGAUGAUGUGGAUAAAUAUUUAUUUUCAAUAUUGAUUGAUAUUUAUGAGUCAGAUAAGUGGUUAGAGUCUGAAAGUAUAAUUUUAAAAUGGAUGAAAGUAGAAAUCAUUACAUUAAGAAAAGUAAGCUACGGCUGGAGAGUUGGUUCAGAGGUUAAGAACACCGACUGCUCUUCCAGAGGUCCUGAGUUCAAUUCCCAGCAACCACAUGGUGGCUCACAACCAUCUGUUAUGAGAUCUGGUGCCCUCUUCUGGUGUGCAGACAUACAUGGAAGCAGAAUGUUGUAUACAUAAUAAAUAAAUAAAAUCUUAAAAAAAGAAAAGUAAGCUAGAGUCAGAAAGACAAAUGUUGUGUGAUUUCUCUUGCAUGUGGAAUCAACAUUUAUAUAUGACAUCACAGUAGAAAAAGGAUUAUUUGAAGGGAGGGAGGUUAUGGGAGAAAGAAAAAUCUCCAUUUUUUAUUCAUAUAAAGAACCUAGAUUUUUAAUUUUUGUUUUCAUUUUUUAUUAUUUUUACUCAUUUUUACAUAUCUAUCCC